AAGAAUCAACUCUAAAAAUUGCAGAGCGAACUCUACUGAAAGUGGACACACCAAAGGAUGAAAAGCGAAUAAGGAAACCUAAGUGACUAUUCUCUGAUGAAGAUUCAACUGUCACUGGAGAUGAAACAAAUCCUGACAUCCCAGGAAAGGAAACAUCCAAACUUGCUGCAAGGACGCAUGUGGAGGAGGAAAUUCUUUUUGGAGACAGCUGGUUUCCACCAGGAUCCCACAGUCCAGGUGAAUCUCCCAGUGAUGACAAUGCUGCCAAAGUCAGAGACCUUCAGAACCAGGUUAAGGUUCUACAGAGGGAAAAUUCAAGGCUGUGCAACUUGGCCAUAAAAGGUCAAAUUGGGGAGUGAUGGAAUAACCAUAUCAACUCACUGUUGGGAGACUGCCAUAUCCCAAAAAACUCCUACUGUGAUGGCUCGAGUGUUGCUGAUGGGUCUGUUCAGUGUUGACAUCCUCAUGAAAUCAAACCUGACUGGAGGGAUGAAUAAGGUGGACCCUGCUGCUGAACGUUGCCAGGCUCUUGACACGAAAAGGCUCCAAGCUUUAGUUGAUGCUGUUGUCAACCACCAUCCUGGGGUGAAGAUUUCUGACAUCAGAAAAGCAAUCAAUGCAAGAAUUUGAAUUUCAACUUGAAAAUGUUUGGAUGGUUGAAAUAGGAGUAUGUUUCAGCAUCAACAGUUGUGUUGAUCGUUUUAUUUUAUUUUCUUUUGCUUGUAAUAAAUACUUGUGCUUUU